GACGAACGCUGGCGGCGUGCUUAACACAUGCAAUCGAACGGAAAGGCCCCCAUCUUGGUGGGGGUGCUCGAGUGGCGAACGGGUGAGUAACACGUGGGUGAUCUGCCCUGUACUUCGGGAUAAGCUUGGGAAACUGGGUCUAAUACCGGAUAGGACCAUGGUUUAGUGUCUCAUGGUGGAAAGAUUAUUGUUUUGGUGCAGGAUGAGCUCGCGGCCUAUCAGCUUGUUGGUGGGGUAAUGGCCUACCAAGGCGUCGACGGGUAGCCGGCCUGAGAGGGUGGACGGCCACAUUGGGACUGAGAUACGGCCCAGACUCCUAUGGGAGGCAGCAGUGGGGAAUAUUGCACAAUGGGCGCAAGCCUGAUGCAGCGACGCCGCGUGGGGGAUGACGGCCUUCGGGUUGUAAACUCCUUUCGUUAGGGACGAAGCCGCACUUUUUUUGGGUGUGGUGACGGUACCUUUGUUAAGAAGCACCGGCUAACUACGUG
rnacentral:rRNA from 1 species